GCAAGGUUAACCGAAUAGGGGAGCCGAAGGGAAACCGAGUCUUAACUGGGCGUUAAGUUGCAGGGUAUAGACCCGAAACCCGGUGAUCUAGCCAUGGGCAGGUUGAAGGUUGGGUAACACUAACUGGAGGACCGAACCGACUAAUGUUGAAAAAUUAGCGGAUGACUUGUGGCUGGGGGUGAAAGGCCAAUCAAACCGGGAGAUAGCUGGUUCUCCCCGAAAGCUAUUUAGGUAGCGCCUCGUGAAUUCAUCUCCGGGGGUAGAGCACUGUUUCGGCAAGGGGGUCAUCCCGACUUACCAACCCGAUGCAAACUGCGAAUACCGGAGAAUGUUAUCACGGGAGACACACGGCGGGUGCUAACGUCCGUCGUGAAGAGGGAAACAACCCAGACCGCCAGCUAAGGUCCCAAAGUCAUGGUUAAGUGGGAAACGAUGUGGGAAGGCCCAGACAGCCAGGAUGUUGGCUUAGAAGCAGCCAUCAUUUAAAGAAAGCGUAAUAGCUCACUGGUCGAGUCGGCCUGCGCGGAAGAUGUAACGGGGCUAAACCAUGCACCGAAGCUGCGGCAGCGACACUGUGUGUUGUUGGGUAGGGGAGCGUUCUGUAAGCCUGUGAAGGUGUGCUGUGAGGCAUGCUGGAGGUAUCAGAAGUGCGAAUGCUGACAUAAGUAACGAUAAAGCGGGUGAAAAGCCCGCUCGCCGGAAGACCAAGGGUUCCUGUCCAACGUUAAUCGGGGCAGGGUGAGUCGACCCCUAAGGCGAGGCCGAAAGGCGUAGUCGAUGGGAAACAGGUUAAUAUUCCUGUACUUGGUGUUACUGCGAAGGGGGGACGGAGAAGGCUAUGUUGGCCGGGCGACGGUUGUCCCGGUUUAAGCGUGUAGGCUGGUUUUCCAGGCAAAUCCGGAAAAUCAAGGCUGAGGCGUGAUGACGAGGCACUACGGUGCUGAAGCAACAAAUGCCCUGCUUCCAGGAAAAGCCUCUAAGCAUCAGGUAACAUCAAAUCGUACCCCAAACCGACACAGGUGGUCAGGUAGAGAAUACCAAGGCGCUUGAGAGAACUCGGGUGAAGGAACUAGGCAAAAUGGUGCCGUAACUUCGGGAGAAGGCACGCUGAUAUGUAGGUGAAGUCCCUCGCGGAUGGAGCUGAAAUCAGUCGAAGAUACCAGCUGGCUGCAACUGUUUAUUAAAAACACAGCACUGUGCAAACACGAAAGUGGACGUAUACGGUGUGACGCCUGCCCGGUGCCGGAAGGUUAAUUGAUGGGGUCAGCGCAAGCGAAGCUCUUGAUCGAAGCCCCGGUAAACGGCGGCCGUAACUAUAACGGUCCUAAGGUAGCGAAAUUCCUUGUCGGGUAAGUUCCGACCUGCACGAAUGGCGUAAUGAUGGCCAGGCUGUCUCCACCCGAGACUCAGUGAAAUUGAACUCGCUGUGAAGAUGCAGUGUACCCGCGGCAAGACGGAAAGACCCCGUGAACCUUUACUAUAGCUUGACACUGAACAUUGAGCCUUGAUGUGUAGGAUAGGUGGGAGGCUUUGAAGUGUGGACGCCAGUCUGCAUGGAGCCGACCUUGAAAUACCACCCUUUAAUGUUUGAUGUUCUAACGUGGACCCGUGAUCCGGGUUGCGGACAGUGUCUGGUGGGUAGUUUGACUGGGGCGGUCUCCUCCUAAAGAGUAACGGAGGAGCACGAAGGUUGGCUAAUCCUGGUCGGACAUCAGGAGGUUAGUGCAAUGGCAUAAGCCAGCUUGACUGCGAGCGUGACGGCGCGAGCAGGUGCGAAAGCAGGUCAUAGUGAUCCGGUGGUUCUGAAUGGAAGGGCCAUCGCUCAACGGAUAAAAGGUACUCCGGGGAUAACAGGCUGAUACCGCCCAAGAGUUCAUAUCGACGGCGGUGUUUGGCACCUCGAUGUCGGCUCAUCACAUCCUGGGGCUGAAGUAGGUCCCAAGGGUAUGGCUGUUCGCCAUUUAAAGUGGUACGCGAGCUGGGUUUAGAACGUCGUGAGACAGUUCGGUCCCUAUCUGCCGUGGGCGCUGGAGAACUGAGGGGGGCUGCUCCUAGUACGAGAGGACCGGAGUGGACGCAUCACUGGUGUUCGGGUUGUCAUGCCAAUGGCACUGCCCGGUAGCUAAAUGCGGAAGAGAUAAGUGCUGAAAGCAUCUAAGCACGAAACUUGCCCCGAGAUGAGUUCUCCCUGACCCUUUAAGGGUCCUGAAGGAACGUUGAAGACGACGACGUUGAUAGGCCGGGUGUGUAAGCGCAGCGAUGCGUUGAGCUAACCGGUACUAAUGAACCGUGAGGCUUAACCUUACAACGCCGAAGGUGUUU
rnacentral:rRNA from 1 species